rnacentral:lncRNA from 1 species
CCCUCUCGGGAGAAAUGGGACAGAGUCAGAAGAAAGUUAUUCACUAGGAUGAAGUCCACCAGAAGCUAAUCAAACAGUGAUGCACAAAGGAAAUAUGGAGAAUCUAAAGAGCGUGACCAAAUAUACACUGGCUUUGGUGCUGGUAAGCCUGGUAUUUUAUGUGAAAAGGAUAAGCUCCCAAGAACCAAAACCACAAGUCCUUUGAUGUCUUGGCCCCAGCUCCAGACAGGCCUGUAGCCCAACUUUUUGACUAUUUUUAGAAUUCUCUUUCCUACUUCCCUACACUACUCCUACCCCUUCCAAUCUAGUAAACAUGAUGUUAUUGUGUGUUGCUGUAAAUCUCCAACCCAAAUGUGCCCCUGCAGUAAAAACACAACUCAGUUAAUAUGAUUACAUGCUGUGUGCCUAGAUUGGGCAGAUCUACCGCUAUAAUAUUACCAUCUUCUACAUCUAUGAGACCCCUCAGAACUUGGGGUUUCUCCAGGCCAUGUGCUUCUGCUCUGCUUUUCUUCUUCUUCCUCCUCCUCUGUGUCCUCUACCUCUUCCAUUUUCUCCUUCUUCUCUCCCCCACUUCUGCUCCACCUUCUCUUUAUCUGCCCAAUCAUCAGCUCUCCUUUAUUUUAUAAAUUAAGGUGGGAAGCAGGUUUAUAGGAAAUCACCUGAGUGCUGACUCAUUCCUUGUUCUCAACUACUCAUAGGAGAAUGGAAUUAACAUCAAAUAUAAUUAGCCCCAGGGAUAUCCAUAACAAUUGUGCGCUGUUUGAGGAUUUAAAUGCUGAUUUCUGUCUCCCCCAUAUCUGGGUACAGUCCUUAUUCAGAGAAUCUCCUGUCUCAAUCUUUUGUAAACACCAGCUCCCCAAUUGUUCCCUGAUGUGUCAAGAAAGAGAG